GGUGGGAUGCCGGAGUGGUCGAACGGGGCGGUUUCGAAAACCGCUGUCUCACUUUUGCGGGACCGGGGGUUCGAAUCCCUCUCCCACCG
rnacentral:tRNA from 3 species